rnacentral:rRNA from 1 species
AGCGAACGCUGGCGGCAGGCCUAACACAUGCAAGUCGAGCGGCCGUAGCAAUACGGCAGCGGCAGACGGGAGAGUAACACGUGGGAACGUGCCCAUCAGUUCGGAACAACCCAGGGAAACUUGGGCUAAUACCGGAUACGCCCUUACGGGGAAAGAUUUAUCGCUGAUGGAGCGGCCCGCGUCGGAUUAGCUAGUUGGUGAGGUAACGGCUCACCAAGGCGACGAUCAGUAGCUGGUCUGAGAGGAUGAUCAGCCUCACUGGGACUGAGACACGGCCCAGACUCCUACGGGAGGCAGCAGUGGGGAAUAUUGGACAAUGGGCGCAAGCCUGAUCCAGCCAUGCCGCGUGGAUGAUGAAGGCCCUAGGGUUGUAAAGUCCUUUCGGCGGGGAAGAUAAUGACGGUACCCGCAGAAGAAGCCCCGGCUAACUUCGUGCCAGCCGCCGCAGUAAUAC